AUGACACUGAAUGAACUGACG
rnacentral:miRNA from 1 species